ACACUGAUGAGCCGCGUCAGUGUAAAAUAGCCCAAACCUACCUUCUGUUUCAGGCGGCGUUGUGCUGGAUGGAGCUUGACUGCCCUCGUGUGUCCAAACUCAGGAACGGCAGUUUCCCUGAAGGGGUAUUCUGUUCCAAGUUUGUGGUAGUUAGCCAAGAAAUAUUACAUGAUUACUAUUACUCUCUCUCCCCUUUUUAAAACCUGUUCACGAUAAUUAUUGUAUACAUUACCUUUAUUUUUGUAAUCUUCUCCCCUAUUUGUGGAUAUUCUUGAGUGAAAUAGAUGAGGCCACGUAGGGAACACAUGAAGUUACCUAGGAGCAGAGUCUAAAAUAUCUUUUUGAGGGACCUCAAACUAUUAUCAUUUGCUAUACUAUUGAUCAUUACGUUAAGUACAUCUUAUUCGUAUAUGGAAAGUACUUAAUGAAGAUAAUAUACUUUAUAUUUUUUUAUGUAACCAUUCAAGUAUUUGUUGAAAUGCUUUUGUUACUGAUAAAUACAUGUACAUUUAAAUUGAUUUUGUUCUGUCUGUGAUUUUGUAGAUCUGGAUGUUCAGCUGGUCUCAGAUCAAGCAUCCUCCUCUGUACUGACUCCACUAUCCCCAGCUUCAUCCCAUUCAUCAGAUUCCACAAUUGUCCUGGAGUCCACAAGAAAGAAGAGGAACCCAACAGGGUUAAUGGAGCAGAAUGAAGCAAGACAGAAAGUUGAUUGUGUUCUGAGGGUCAAUCCAAAGGGUGAGGAAAUCUCCAAGGAGUAUGAAAAGACCAAAACACUAGCAGAUGUCACACAUAAACAGAUGGUGAACGCCCUGGUUGCAGACAUGUUAGAGCUACAUGGGAGGAUUCCAUCCUCAAGUGUGAGGACCAGUUAUGCACUGGGAAUUGUGACA